AUUGAACGCUGGCGGCAGGCCUAACACAUGCAAGUCGAGCGGAUGAGUGGAGGUUGCUCCAUGAUUCAGCGGCGGACGGGUGAGUAAUGCCUAGGAAUCUGCCUGGUAGUGGGGGACAACGUUUCGAAAGGAACGCUAAUACCGCAUACGUCCUACGGGAGAAAGCAGGGGACCUUCGGGCCUUGCGCUAUCAGAUGAGCCUAGGUCGGAUUAGCUAGUUGGUGAGGUAAAGGCUCACCAAGGCGACGAUCCGUAACUGGUCUGAGAGGAUGAUCAGUCACACUGGAACGGAGACACGGUCCAGACUCCUACGGGAGGCAGCAGUGGGGAAUAUUGGACAAUGGGCGAAAGCCUGAUCCAGCCAUGCCGCGUGUGUGAAGAAGGUCUUCGGAUUGUAAAGCACUUUAAGUUGGGAAGAAGGGCAGUAAGUUAAUACCUUGCUGUUUUGACGUUACCGACAGAAUAAGCACCGGCUAACUUCGUGCCAGCAGCCGCCGUAACAC
rnacentral:rRNA from 1 species